AAGGAAUAUUGGUCGAUGGAGGGAACUCUGAACCAGCCAUGCCGCGUGCAGGAUGAAAGCCCUCUGGGUUGUAAACUGCUUUUAACAGGGAAGAAAAUGCUAUACGCGAUAUAGUACUGACGGUACCUGAGGAAUAAGCACCGGCUAACUCCGUGCCAGCAGCCGCGGUAAUACGGAGGGUGCAAGCGUUAUCCGGAAUCACUGGGUUUAAAGGGUGCGUAGGCGGUUUUAUAAGUCAGUGGUAAAAGGUUGUAGCUCAACUAUAAGAGGUCCAUUGAUACUGUAAGACUUGAAUCGAGUUGAGGUUGGCGGAAUGAGACAUGUAGCGGUGAAAUGCUUAGAUAUGUCAUAGAACACCAAUUGCGAAGGCAGCUGACUAGACUUAGAUUGACGCUGAGGCACGAAAGUGUGGGUAGCGAAC
rnacentral:rRNA from 1 species